GUGAUGGGUUCGCUUCGAAAGAGGAGGUAGGAGUGGCCAAUGAUAUGAAAGUAUUUCUAAAUGGAUCUAAGUUGGUGGGUAAGAUCGAGAGUGAAGCUAUCUCUAAGAUUCCAAAGGUUCAUGGAUGUUUGAGAGAGCAAGCGAAGUUGGUGCACUCGAGAAUGCGGGUUGAGUUGAAUUCUAGCGUGAAAAUUGGUAAAGGAGGAUCUUUGAGUUCUGGGACAGAGGAUACCAUUCGGACCGCAUUGUUGUCAUUUGCAGCCAUGCUGUGGGACUUGGGAAAAUGUAGUCUGGACAGAGGAAAAUUAAUUUUGGGUUCAAGUAGCGACGAGAAUAUAAAGGC
rnacentral:misc_RNA from 1 species